UGAAACAAAGGCACCGAAGCAAGUAACGAUGCGUAGGCCCACGGCCACCGGUCGGAAGAGAGCUUAAGGGCCUCCACCAAAUUCUUAACAAUCCGGCCACCGGUCGGAAGAGAGCUUAAGGGCCUCCACCAAAUUCUUACAGUCCGACAAGAUAUUGAUCGACCCAACCAAGAGGGGCACCAAGCCUAACGGCCACCAGCAACGGCUCCUGGCAAACAAGGCGCCCUACUCUCCCAUCAAUAACGAUCCCAACAGAGUUGAACAUAAUCAAUCACUCUAUAGCCUGAUUGAACUAUCGCACAACAGAGUAAAACCGUACCUGAUCAUCGGUUGAGUCUCCAAUCGAUGGGUUGCGAGAGGAGUUAGCGGGCAGCGGCGGAUAAGUAUGCCAACCACACCACAAGCUCCUUACGAAAACAGAUUAACAGAAGUCCAUCGC
rnacentral:lncRNA from 1 species